UACGAAGGGUGCAAACGUUGCUCGGAAUUAUUGGGCGUAAAGCGCACGUAGGCGGCUCUUUAAGUCGGGGGUGAAAUCCUGGAGCUCAACUCCAGAACUGCCUUCGAUACUGAAGAGCUCGAGUCCGGGAGAGGUGAGUGGAACUGCGAGUGUAGAGGUGAAAUUCGUAGAUAUUCGCAAGAACACCAGUGGCGAAGGCGGCUCACUGGCCCGGUACUGACGCUGAGGUGCGAAAGCGUGGGGAGCAAACAGG
rnacentral:rRNA from 1 species